ACUGCUCCACACGCCGCCGACAGUGAAAGGAGAUCAACAUGACAGCAGACGACGUCAAAUUAAAGAACGUUAAUCGAUAACACGAGGAGUGGAAUGUGUAUUGCUAAUAGAGGACGGAAAAUUUAUAUCGUAUAUUCGCUUUGAAAAUUUGUGCACUCAGACUUCAUAUGAAGUGAACGAUAUUCCUAGUGACUAGUUCAAGUCAUUAAGAAGUCGAAAAUUAUAUAAUACGUGGAAUAUUAUGAGAUGGUAAUAGAUAUUCGAUUGCAUUGAAAGUUACGUUGCACAAAGGCAGGUGCAACCUUCAGGGCCAUCGGACAGGUAUCCAAUAGCCGGUCCAGUCAAGGCAUCUGAAAAGACCGCGAUUGUAGCGACACUUAGGUUCGGAAAAACGGGGACAAUCAGGGAAGGACCAAAUGUAAGAUUGAUUAGCACAUACCCCAAGAAUUAUAAAUAAAAGUAUGAAUUUUUUCUAGCUUUGAGCUGCACGUAAAAAAAGCUGCUACAAGGAAUCUUCAUUCAACCUGUAUCCGAACAUCCUCAAAGAUUUGCAGUCAUCAUGCUACAUACGGAAGACGGGCACGACUGUGAGUCGUGCGAACGGCCUAAUUCAGCAGCCGACAUGGUACAGUGCGAGAAUUGUGAGCUGUGGUAUCAUCAAGAUUGUGCUGGAGUGUCACCUGGAGUAGAAGAUCGCCAAUGGCACUGUUUAAAGUGUCCCGCAGUUGGUACAUCGGAGACUGUAUU